rnacentral:snRNA from 1 species
AUACUUACCUGGCAUGGAGGAUACCAUGAUCAUGAAGGUGGUUUUCCCAGGGUGAGGCUUACCAUUGCACUCCGGAUGUGCUGACCCCUGCGAUUUCCCCAAAUGUGGGAAACUCGACUGCAUAAUUUGUAGUAUUGGGGAACUGCAUUUGCACUCUCCCCU